CUUUGUCCUGCAGGACCAUGGAAGCUGUGUGCCUCAUGCUGGCCCAGGCAGUGGUGGUAGAGUCUGGUGUUCUACCCAUGCAGUCCUCACCCCAGAAGCCUAGGGGCUGCAAGUAGCACAUUCACCCUCAUACACCCAGAAUUCUGGGUCUUCCAAUUGUAGUUCUCAUUGCUCUGAGGCUUUUUUUUUUAAGCACAUGUUUUUUUUCUUUUCUCCCUUCUCCUCCUCCCUAACAAGAUUAGGGAAACAAUGUUAUCUUUUUCUUCCCCUAGUUAAUUGCCCUUGAACACACCCACUAUAGGAAGGAGAUGCCUGCUAAGGAUCUGGGAAGUGAACAGCUCCGAAAUUAACAAGUGAAUCCUAACAAGCCAUCAGGGUGGCCACUCCCCAUAGGAGCACAGAGGCUGAGAAGGGCUUCCUGCUUCCAUCCAAUCUCUUGCCAUUACCAGGAGGUCCAGUUGAGCCAAGACUCAGCUCCAGGGACUUUAGUCCAUUUCCCCCAAAAUGAACAUGAUGUAGCUAGUGUAGUCAUAGUUCUAGAACUUUCAUGACUGAGCCUGUGGCGUGCCGGGAAUAGAAGAGUGCUCCUCAUGCAGUUCGUGCCUCUGACCAUGACCAGCUGUUAGGAUGGCCUUAGGCCUGAGCCUAAGCAACUCCAUUUUAAAAACACCAGUUUGAAACCUGCAGUCUCACCAGGCAGCACCCACAGAUCCCUCCAGCAUGGCCUCAAACAAGUUACUUCCCUUCACCUGAUAAACAGAGUGAAGCCCCUGGCUUCUGAUCAGGCUGUUCUGCCUGAUCAGAGAGAAAGGCGAGAAGAUCAGGGUGGAGACCACCAGACCAGAUGUUUCUGACCCCAGGGUAAAUGAUGUCACUGAGAAAUCUAGUGGUAGCUGAUAAGAAUUAAAAGGGGGAUCAAAAGCCCCCAAAUUUAAUAUAAAAGAUAGAGCAAAUGAACAGGGAUUCAGCCAGCCAAAACAAGGAUGCACUCAAGUUGGAGAGUCACUUGGUCUGGACCCUGGUGAGAGCCACAACUUCUCCCUAUGACCCUCUCCUCAACUGGUCAUCCACGCCAGGAAAAGCCUGUCUUGGUUCCGGACCUGGUCACCGCGGUCUGAGUGAGUGUGCAUUUGCUGGACUUAAAGCCUAAGGUUUAAGACAUUUGAACUUAGCAUGCUGAGGAAAUGUCUGUCAUUAGCUUAUCAUGAUUAAGUGUGUUUUGCAGUGCUCAGAAUUAAUCUAGAAUUGUUUGCUGUGAAUUAAUUAAUCUAGAAUUGUUUGCCGUGAAUUGAUUAUUGCAGUGCUUAGCAUUAAGGAUUGUCAUUUUCUUGAUUAAGAACCUAUAGAGUAAAAUUAUAUUGAGUAAUUUGAGUGAAUAAAGCAUUGAAAGGGGCAGAAGCGCAUGGACAUUCUUUA
rnacentral:lncRNA from 1 species